rnacentral:rRNA from 1 species
AACGAACGCUGGCGGCAGGCUUAACACAUGCAAGUCGAGCGCCCCGCAAGGGGAGCGGCAGGCGGGUGAGUAACGCGUGGGAAUCUACCCAUCUCUACGGAAUAACGCAUGGAAACGUGUGCUAAUACCGUAUACGUCCUUCGGGAGAAAGAUUUAUCGGAGAUGGAUGAGCCCGCGUUGGAUUAGCUAGUUGGUGGGGUAAAGGCCUACCAAGGCGACGAUCCAUAGCUGGUCUGAGAGGAUGAUCAGCCACACUGGGACUGAGACACGGCCCAGACUCCUACGGGAGGCAGCAGUGGGGAAUAUUGGACAAUGGGCGCAAGCCUGAUCCAGCCAUGCCGCGUGAGUGAUGAAGGCCCUAGGGUUGUAAAGCUCUUUCACCGGUUAAGAUAAUGACGGUAACCGGAGAAGAAGCCCCGGCUAACUUCGUGCCAGCAGCCGCCGUAACAC